rnacentral:lncRNA from 1 species
UGAGGAAUGACUAAAACUCCAUGCAGUUUUUCAGAUGUUAAUUAUAUAAUUUUGUGCCUCUGGAUUUAUAUGACCUCAUAGAUUAGGACUUUUCAAACGACUUAUGACAAUCAAUUCAGCAUCAUAUAAUGAUGGCCAUUUUUUUAAAAAAAUGCAAAAUGUUUUCACUACCAGUUUUUCAUUAGAUGUUCGCAAGUGUAUGAAAUAGCUAAGACAGAUACUACUCCCCCUGCCCAAGAUCUACCUUUUUUAUACACAAGAUUAUUGAAGUUCAGAAUAAUUAUGUGACUCCCUGGUCCCACAGAACAAAUAAACACUAGAUCCUGGGUGUAAUGACUCCCCAUUCUUAUUUGAUAAUUUUAUAGACUAUUAAAAGUUAGAAGUGCAGGAUAUUAUGUGUAGAGUUAAUUAAUUUAAAUUCAUAGACUAAAAGCUAUUAGCAAAGAAUCAAAUUAAACUUCCUUCUAAAUAAAAAACAAAACAAAAAAUAUUUCUGGUGGUAUGCCAGUGUCCUUAUAGAGGAAAUGAAAGCUACAAACUGGAUGUAUGAAGUCAGCUUCAUUUAGGUUUCUUUUGUGUAAUGUUUGUGAAACAUUAGUGUAGAUUGUAAUUUAGGAACCAAUGGGUUAUCCCAGACUGGAUGAGAAGUAGCUCACUUGUACUUUCAAAAAAAGCUUUAAUGAAUUUUUUAUGUAAAAUAAGGGAAACUGUGUAUUCUAAGUUUUAUUUUAAUUUUUUUUGCUAUUAUUAUUUUAGAUUUAUUUAAGAAAGAUCACACAUGCACACCAUAUGUCACAGCAAUAUCUUCUUGGAUCCACCUCCUAGAGGUGAAUGAAAAAAAUAAAUAAAUAAAUAAAUGGGACCUAAUUAAAUUUAAAAGCUUUUGCACAGCAAAGAAAACCAUAAACAAAAUGAACAGACAACCUACAGAAUGGGAGAAAAUAUUUGCAAAUGAUGCCACAGACAAGGGAAUGAUCUCCAAAAUACACAAACAGCUCAUACAGCUCAAUAUCAAAAAAAAAAAAAAACCAAACCACCCAAUCAAAAAAUGGGCAGAUGAUCUCAAGAGACAUUUUCCCAAAGAAGACAUACAGAUGGCUAAACAGCACAUGGAAAGAUGACCAACAUGGGAGUUCCCAUCGUGGCUCAGCAGUAAUGAACCCGACUAGGAUCCAUGAGGUCAUGGAUUAGAUCCCUGGCCUCACUCAGUGUGUUAAGGAUCAAGCAUUGCCAUGAGCUGCGGUGCAGGUCACAGACGCAGCUCAGAUCUGACAUUGCUGUGACUGUGGCGUAAGCGGGCAGCUGUAGCUCAGAUUCGAGCCCUAGACUGGGAACGUCCAUAUGCUGCAGGUGCAGCCCUAAAAAGCAAAAAAUAAAUUAAAAAAAAAAGACUCCCAAUAUUGCUGAUUAUUAGAGAAAUGUAAAUCAAAAUUACAGUGAGAUAUCACCUUACACCAGUCAAAAUGGCCAUCAUCAAAAAGUCUACAAACAAUAAAGGCUGGAGAGGGUAUAGAAAAAAAGGAACCCUCCUACACUGUUGGUGGGAAUGUAAAUUGGUGCAGCCACUAUGGAGAACAGUAUGGAGGCUCCUUAAAAAACUACAAAUAGAACUACCAUAUGAUCCAGAAAUCCCAAUCCUGGCAUAUAUCCAGAGAAAACCAUAAUUCAAAAAGAUACAUGCACCCCAAUGUUCACUGCAGCACUAUUACAAUAGCCAAGACAUGGAAGCAACCUAAAUGUCCAUCAACAAAGGAAUGGAUAAAGAAGAUGUGGUACACAAAGUAAUAGUCCUCAUUCAUAAAAAAAGAAUGAAAUAAUGCCAUUUGCAGCAACAUGGGUAGACCUACAGAUUAUCAUACUAAGUGAAGUCAGAAAAUCAAAUACCAUAUGAUAUCACUUAUAUGUGGAAUCUUAAAAAAUGAUACAAAUGAACUUAUUUACAAAACAGAAACAGACUCCCAGACAUAGAAAACAAAUCUAUGGUUACCAAAGGGGACGAGGCAGGGGAAGGGAGAGGGAUGGACUAGGGAUUUGGGAUAAGCACACUAUUGUAUAUGGAAUGGAUGGUUAAUGGGGACCUGCUCUAUAGCAGAGGACACUCUACUCAAUAUUCUGUGAUGACUUACAUGGGAAAAGAAUCUGAAAAAGAAUGGAUAUAUAUAUUUGCGUAACUGAAUCACUUUGCUGUACGACAGAAAUUAUCACAUUGUAAAUCAAUGAUAUACUUCAAUAAAACUUUUAAAAAUGAAAAAAAAAAAUAUGUACCCAACAUAGGAGGACCUAAAUAUAUAAAGGGAAUAUUAACCAACCUAAAGGGAGGAAUUGCAAUGUGAUCAUAGUAGGAGACUUUGACACUCUGCUUACAUCAAUGGAUAGAUCAUCCAGACAGAAAAUCAAUGAGGAACCAUCUGCCUUAAAUGAUACAUAAAUACAAGAUGUACUUAACAAAUACAUAUUGGUCAUUACAUCCAAAAAAGCAAUAGAACACACAUCCCUCUCCAGUGUACCCAGAACAGUGUCAGUCUGUGUUUGGAAUGAUUAAAAAAAAAAAAAAAAGUUUUGGAACUAAAUAGUGGUGGUUGUUGCACAACAUUAUUAAUAUACUUAAUGCCACUGAAUUGUGCACUUUAAAAUGGUUACAAGGAGUUCCCUGGUGGCCUAGUGGUUAAGGAUCUGGUGUUGUCACUGCUGUGGCUCGGGUUCGAUCUUGGGCCUGGGAAUUCCACAUGCCAUGGGUGCAGCCAAUCAAUUAAUAAUUAAUUAAAUGGUUACAAUGAAAAAAAAGAUACCAUUAAGAGAGUUAAGCCACAAACAAGUCUUUGCAAUACAGAUAGUGGGUUUGAUCCAGAAUACAUAUUUUAUAUCUUUUAAAAAUAAAUUUUAAAAGGCUGAAAACCUAACAGGAAAAAAGGGGGGGAAGAAAAUAUCUAAAUGAGCAUUUCGGAGUUCCCGUCGUGGCUCAGUGGUUAACAAAUCUGACUAGGGACCAUGAGGUUGAGGGUUGGAUCCCUGGCCUUGCUCAGUGGGUUAAGGAUCGGCAUUGCCGUGAGCUGUGGUGUAGGUUGCAGGCGCGGCUCGGAUCUGGCGUUUCCGUGGCUCUGGCAUAGGCCUGCAGCUACAGCUCUGAUUGGACCCAUAGCCUGGGAACGUGCCUUGGGAGCAGCCCUAAAAAUGGCAAAAGGACCAUAAAAAAAAAAAAAAUGAGCAUUUCAACAGACAGUAAAUGCCAAGAGACAUGAAAAUAGGGAGACUUGCUCAUCCUCUUUAGGAACCAGAGAAAUGCCGGCUGAAAAAAACAGUGAAACACCAUUAUGCACACAUCAGAACCCGGCUUCCCAGAGGCCCAGGUGAAGUUUCCAACUGAGAACAGGGAAGGUCCAAGCCCGAACAGAAAGUGGGGAAGGUAGGGGCAGGUCUCCUAUUCUAGUCCACGCAGCCACCAACCACUGUCAAUUCAUGUUGCAUUAUCAAUAACUAAUUUACAAUUUGACCAUCAUAUUUAGCCAUGAAAGGGAUUCUAGGGAUCACACAAUCCAGUCUCCUCAUUUUAGGGCAGAAACUGAGGCACUGCCUGCUGGCUGCCGUCCCCCAGAUCAUACCCACCAGUAGAGCUGGAACUAAAUCUCACACCCUUUAAUUGCCAAUUCAUUUUCCACUGUGCCCGGGGGUCUUGAUGCACAUGAACAUAAGGGGCAAAGUUUGUCACUUGCCAUUCCUCACCCUCCAAAACCUUCCUAUUACAUUAAAAAAAAAAAGGAACAAAAUCCCAAGUCUUCCAUGGCCCACAAUGAUCCAUGUAUGAUCUUGCCUAGGUCUCCGUCCACCACCCCAUGCCUCACCCCACUCCAUUUCAGCCCCUCAGCCCCUCUGCUAUUCCCGAAGGCAAGAAGUGCCCCCGCCACCCCCACUCUGUUGGGGCCUUGCAGUCCUAGAUUCCUCUGCUCCUCUGCUGUAACAUCCUCCUCCCGGCUUCCCCAUGGCCUUCUUCGUAUUCCUGCUUAUGAUUUAAAAUGCUUUUAUUUUUCUUAAAAGGUUUUCUAAAAUUAUUUUCUUCUCAGAAUUUGGAUUAAAUUAAGUAGAAAAUAACCCUUUACUGCAAAGUUGGUAAAAGAAAGUUGUUCCCCUAGGUAAUAUUUAGAAAUAGCACAGUGGGAGUUCCCAUCAUGGUGCAGUGGAAACGAAUCUGACUGGGAACUGUAAGGUUGUAGGUUCAAUCCCUGGCCUUGCUCAGUGGGUUAAGGUUGUGGUGUUGCUGUGAGAGGUGGUGUAGGUCGCAGAUACGGCUUGGAUCUUGCAUUGCUGUGGCUGUGGCGUAGGCCUCUGGCAGCUGUAGCUCCAAUUCAACCCCUAGCCUGGGAACUUCCAUAUGCUGAGGGUGCGGCCCUAAAAAGUGAAAGAAAAAAAAAAAGAAAAGAAAAGAAAUAGCAUAAUUAAAUAGAUAUUCUACUUUGUUCCUGAAAGGAAAACUUUUAAGAACAUAAAUAAUUUAUCAAUGUGCUUCUCUUUUACCUCUUUUACACUGGAGGUGCCUGGGAGUAUUUCACUGGCAGAAUGUGUAGAUGUUAUCUAAUUAUCAGAUAUUGGAACAAAUAAAGUCAUACAAGCUCUGCAGAGGUAAGCAGAUCCAGGUUUUGAGUGGCCUGAGGCUUACAUACUUUGAGGAGAAGACUCGUUUUUUUUGUUGUUGUUGUUUGUUUGUUUUUUGGUGCAAAAAUAUGAAUGUGAAAGUGCUAGGGCACUUCCAG